UACGGGGGGGGCAAGCGUUGUUCGGAAUUACUGGGCGUAAAGGGCUCGUAGGUGGCCAACUAAGUCAGACGUGAAAUCCCUCGGCUUAACCGGGGAACUGCGUCUGAUACUGGAUGGCUUGAGUUUGGGAGAGGGAUGCGGAAUUCCAGGUGUAGCGGUGAAAUGCGUAGAUAUCUGGAGGAACACCGGUGGCGAAGGCAGCACUCUGGGCCGGCACUGACGCUGAGGAGCGAAAGCGUGGGGAGCGAACAGG
rnacentral:rRNA from 1 species